GACGAACGCUGGCGGCGUGCUUAACACAUGCAAGUCAGGGGGCGGGGUAACCCGUCACCGGCGAACGGGUGCGGAACACGUGAGCGACCUGCCCUGGUGUGGGGGAUAGCCGGCCCAACGGCCGGGUAAUACCGCAUACGGCGCCCGCUUGGAAGCGGGAGGCGAAACUCGCAAGAGGCGCUAGGAGGGGCUCGCGGCCUAUCAGCUAGUUGGUGCGGUAACGGCGCACCAAGGCGAUGACGGGUAGCUGGUCUGAGAGGAUGGCCAGCCACAUUGGGACUGAGAGACGGCCCAGACUCCUACGGGAGGCAGCAGUGGGGAAUAUUGCGCAAUGGGCGAAAGCCUGACGCAGCGACGCCGCGUGGAGGAUGAGGCCCUUCGGGGUGUAAACUCCUGUUGCCCGGGACGAAUGCCCCGCAUCAGCGGGGUUGACGGUACCGGGUGAGGAAGCACCGGCUAACUCUGUG
rnacentral:rRNA from 1 species